UACGCUCUAAUGAAUUAACCCAUAUGAUACUUCUUUCUCCACCCCACCAACUUUGACUUUAUGACUUUUCAGGGAAGAGUUGGCACUGUGGAAUAGUUGAGUCAUGAACGGGGCUGUGCAAUGAAAACGCUGCAAGGAAUUCCUCACAUUCUCUGAGUGUGUGGCACUCACAUUUGCUGAGUGUCAGCAACCCCAAAGAGUCAACGUGGUGAGUCUGAAACUGUUACCUGCAUGGACCAGUGGUCAAGGUAAACACAGAGCAGUGGGGCCUCAAUGAUCACGAAUGCAUGGACCUAGCAUCAGGCUCCAUGCCCUGCACCUACCUUCACAUGUUUGCUCUGCACAAGCCCCCAGCUUGAGGAUAAAGCUUCGGAGGGAGACCACCUGACCAAGUGAGCUGGUCAUUCUGCACAUGCUGGCAACACAGACUCACUGCUCUGGGGUUUUCUCUAAGUGCCGUGGUAUGUCUGCUCAGAUGGAGAUGUCCGCCUGCUUUCCAUGGGUGCGGUCUGACCUAGGAGGACACCAUUUUAAGCAGGUAUUUCUGCCCUGACCCUUAUGUUCCUCCUUCCCCAGUUGCAUCUGCUUUGAAUGUGGAUGUCACUCUGCUAUUGCAAGUGUGUCUACUGUGAGCAGGGGUAGCUCCUGAUUCCCAGGUGUAUUCCGUGACCUGGGUCAUGACCCUGAUUCCCAGGUCAGUCUUCGCAGACUGAGGAAGUCUCCUGCGGUGGUUCUCUCACAGCUUAGGUAAAGCUAAACUGCCCUGGGACGACUGUUUAAUUCCCAAGUGUGUCUACCCUGACCUGAGAUGUCUGCCUAAUACCAAAUGUUUGUGUUCACUGACUUAGAAUGUCUUCCUAAUUCCCAACGUGCACUUUUACAUGGAAGUGCAUGCUGGUUCCGCAGUGUGUCUACAGUUACCAGUAAUAUUUCUCCGGUUCUCUGGCUUGAGUAGUCUUCCUUCGUCCCCUGGUAUGCACCAGAGAAAUCAAUGAGAAUUUAUUUCUACCUUAAUUAGGGAUGUCUCCCUAGGUCUCCAGGUGUGUCUCCCCUAAAUUGGGAUAUCUCUCUAGUUUACAGGAGUGUGUAGCUUGACUAUGGACAUCUCCUUAAUUUCAUAGGCGGUGUACUCUGAAACUGGGUAACCCUGUAAUCCCCCUCAUAUGUCUUUGGAGACCUGGAAUGUUUCCUUAUUUCCCCAGGAGUGUCUACCCUGACCUGAGAGUCUCCUUAAUUCCCCAGGUGUGUCUACCCUGACCUGGAAUAUCUUAAUAACUCAGAUAUGUCUUCAUUACCGUGGAUUUCUCACUAGUUCCUCAGGUAUGUUUGUUUAAUCUGACUUGGGUUUUCUCCCUUCUGCACAUUUGUCUCCCAAUUUUGGGAUGUUUCCCCAAUUUUACAGGAGUGUCUUGCUGACCUGGAAUACUUCCCUAACUCCACAGAUUUGAUCACCUUAAUUGUGGACACCUACUAAUUCCUUA
rnacentral:lncRNA from 1 species